UUUACUUGGAUUUGUUUGGAUAAGGAGGCAUGAUCACUUUAGCAUUUAAACGUACUCACAUUGACGAAAGCCGCAAGCAAACCAUAAGAGUGAGCGUGAGGCAAAUAGGCGGCUAACGCUUUACGUCGGAUAAGCUAAGGAAAUACCAGAUUUCGCGGGUGAAUGAGCUUGCUGAGCUGGAGAACGCGCUGGUUUUAAUGGGGAAGAGGAAAAAGCAGAGGAAUACCAAAUACCAGAACUGCCAAGCGGUUUUGUCAAGUUUGCUCAUUAACUGCUCAUUGGAGCUAGUAUAUGUAUGUCUUGCUCCAUCUUACGAAAAAUCGUAUAGUCUGAGAAAAAACUGAUCUAAUGAAUGAGCCGAACAAUGCCUUUGACUUAUCGCAUUAUAGUCGCCAAUUUCAUUUUGGUAAUGGAGGCAGGCUUUUUAAAAAGCUGAAUCGGAUACAACAGCUGCAGAUAUAGAUUUUCAAGAAGAUUUAGUAAUAAAAUUAAGCGUUUUUUUACAAACUGUGAAAGUUAUAAAUAUUUUCUUUUCAACCGAGUCCUUAUACACGUGUUGACCUUUUUACCGAAUAUUGGACGUAAAAAAAAUUGAUGCAAAUCAAAAAUGUGAGAAAAUAUUUUUCGCGAAAUACGUCUGGUUUGUAAAA